rnacentral:rRNA from 1 species
UACGUAGGGUGCGAGCGUUAAUCGGAAUUACUGGGCGUAAAGCGUGCGCAGGCGGUUUUGUAAGACAGGUGUGAAAUCCCCGGGCUUAACCUGGGAACUGCGCUUGUGACUGCAAGACUCGAGUACGGCAGAGGGGGGUAGAAUUCCACGUGUAGCAGUGAAAUGCGUAGAGAUGUGGAGGAAUACCGAUGGCGAAGGCAGCCCCCUGGGAUAACACUGACGCUCAGGCACGAAAGCGUGGGGAGCAAACAGG